UUGUGUCAUCUUGACGUAGCGUUGAAGGUUAAAGCGUUAUCUUAAAAUGAUUUACAAUAAUAAAACACAAAUAUACCAAUUAGACAAAGCAUUAUAAAAAUAAUGAAUCAUUUUCCUAAUACAUAAAAUUAAGAUAAAAUAGAAAGGAGAGUUGAUGUAAGGACAAGUCACGUGUUUUUUACAAGUUUAAGACGCGAAUGCGAGGUGCAUAUCUUUAUGAUACGAUCACAAAUGGAACAGCUAUAUGGAUAUACUUGUAAGAAUAAUUGUUGCUUUUGCGGGACUCACUUUGAAGAUUGUGGAACAAGCUGUCAGAGCAUUCCUCCACAUUGCUAUGACUCUCUCAUCAAUAGGAUUCGUCGCAGCCUCGGGUGCUAUGAUUUGUUAUACCAUUAUGAGAUACGGAGUAUGCGACGAAGAGACUUGUUUGACGUCUCGAUCUUUGGGCGGAUUGAUAUUAUUGGCGGGUUGGGCUUAUGUUGCCUACGUCACUGUACGGAAUCUACUUUAAAUAUUUAAUUGAAUAAAAAUGUCGAAAUUCUGUCUUAUA